GCCUCCCUUCAACUACACAAAGAACUACCACACGCUAUACUAAUCCACCUGCAUAUCGCAAUGGACACGGAGGCUAAAGCAGUACCAUUCAUGGUGGAUCAAAAUAGCUGCACCAAUGCAGAACUCGACAACGUACUUCAGUCUGUAGCCCUGCUAAGCACAUCAUGUAUAAAGAAUAAAUAUUGUUUUAGCACGGCCGAAAA
rnacentral:lncRNA from 1 species